GGCGCAAGCCUGAUCCAGCCAUGCCGCGUGAGUGAAGAAGGCCUUCGGGUUGUAAAGCGCUUUCGUGUGGAAAGAAAUCAUCGCGGCUAAUACCGGGGGUGGAUGACGGUACCGUCAGAAUAAGCACCGGCUAACUACGUGCCAGCAGCCGCGGUAAUACGUAGGGUGCGAGCGUUAAUCGGAAUUACUGGGCGUAAAGCGUGCGCAGGCGGUUGUGUAAGACAGGUGUGAAAUCCCCGGGCUUAACCUGGGAACUGCGCUUGUGACUGCACGGCUAGAGUACGGCAGAGGGGGGUGGAAUUCCACGUGUAGCAGUGAAAUGCGUAGAGAUGUGGAGGAACACCGAUGGCGAAGGCAGCCCCCUGGGCCUGUACUGACGCUCAUGCACGAAAGCGUGGGGAGCAAACAGGAUUAGAUACCCUGGUAGUCCACGCCCUAAACGAUGUCGACUAGUUGUUCGGACAGGAAACUUUCUGGGUCACGCAUCUCACGCGUGAAUUCGACCGCGUGGGGAGUACGGUCGCGGGAUUAACACUCAAGGA
rnacentral:rRNA from 1 species